rnacentral:misc_RNA from 1 species
AACUUUCGGCAACGGAUCACUUGGUUCUGGCAUCGAUGAAGAACGCAGCGAAAUACGAUAAGUAAUGUGAAUUGCAGAAUUCAGUGAAUCAUCGAAUCUUUGAACGCACAUUGCGCCCCCUGGUAUUCCGGGGGCAUGCCUGUUCGAGCGUCAUUUAAACCCUCAAGCUCAGCUUGGUGUUGGGGCCUGCCCACCGGCAGCCCUUAAAAUCAGUGGCGGUGCCAUCUGGCUCUAAGCGUAGUAAUUUCUCUCGCUAUAGGGUCCCGGUGGAGACUUGCCAAAACCCCCAAUUUUUCUAUGGUUGACCUCGGAUCAGGUAGGGAUACCCGCUGAACUUAAGCAUAUCAAUAAGCGGAGGCU